CUGAGUUGCAGAACUCCCUAACCAUUGUGAACCUACCCUAUCAGUUGCUUCGGCGGGGGGCCUCAGGCCUCGGCCACCCCGGGAGGCCCGCCGGAGAGCGUCACUAAACUCUAUGUUUUAACACUUGGCCUCUCUGAGUUAGCUUACUGUAAAUAAGUCA
rnacentral:misc_RNA from 1 species